CGCCCUUAGAGUUUGAUCCUGGCUCAGAUUGAACGCUGGCGGCAGGCUUAACACAUGCAAGUCGAGCGGUAGGAGAGCUUGCUCUCUACGAGCGGCGGACGGGUGAGUAAUGUCUGGGAAACUGCCUGAUGGAGGGGGAUAACUACUGGAAACGGUAGCUAAUACCGCAUAACGUCUUCGGACCAAAGUGGUUCGUCACACCAUCGGAUGUGCCCAGAUGGGAUUAGCUAGUAGGUGGGGUAAAGGCUCACCUAGGCGACGAUCUCUAGCUGGUCUGAGAGGAUGACCAGCCACACUGGAACUGAGACACGGUCCAGACUCCUACGGGAGGCAGCAGUGGGGAAUAUUGCACAAUGGGCGCAAGCCUGAUGCAGCCAUGCCGCGUGUAUGAAGAAGGCCUUGGGGUUGUAAAGUACUUUCAGCGGGGAGGGAAGGCGAUGCGUAAUCGCGUCGAUGGACGUUACCCGCAGAAGAAGCACCGGCUAACUCCGUGCCAGCAGCCGCGGUAAUACGGAUGGUGCAAGCGUUAAUCGGAAUUACUGGGCGUAAAGCGCACGCA
rnacentral:rRNA from 1 species